rnacentral:rRNA from 1 species
GUAGUGAAGCGGGAAGAGCUCAAAUUUGAAAGCUGACCUUUCGGUCCGCAUUGUAAUCUCGAGAAGCGUUUGCCGCGACGGGCUGCGUACAAGUCCCUUGGAAUAGGGCGUCGUAGAGGGUGAGAAUCCCGUACUUGAUGCAGAUCCACCGUUGCUUUGUGAUACGCUCUCCACGAGUCGAGUUGUUUGGGAAUGCAGCUCAAAAUGGGUGGUAAAUUCCAUCUAAAGCUAAAUAUUGGGGAGAGACCGAUAGCGAACAAGUACCGUGAGGGAAAGAUGAAAAGCACUUUGGAAAGAGAGUUAAACAGUACGUGAAAUUGUCGAAAGGGAAGCGCUUGAAGUCAGUCAUGCUGGUCAGAAUUCAGCCUUGUAUUUCUACUUGGUCUACUUUUUGGCACGCAGGUCAGCAUCGGUUUUGGUUACUGGAUAAGGGUAAGAGGAAGGUAGCAUCUUUCGGGGUGUAUUAUAGCCUCUUACUGGAUACAGCAGCUGGGACCGAGGAACGCAGUGUGCCUUUUUACAAGGUGGGCCUCUCGAGGUACCUUCGCACU